UGUCUCUCUCUGUCCCAAAAAUAAAUAAACGUUGAAAAAAACGUGCCCGCGGGAUUUUAAUUUACGGAGGUAACGGAGUGACAAGAAAGGCUAAUGCCUUAACCUCUUACUACUCGCAGACCCCCUGGAAAGGAGGCGCACAUCCACGCCAUCCAGGGCGCAUGAAGCCGGUCACAUGCAGGAUCCCGAAGCAGAAAGAGAGGAGCUGGGACUAGGCCAAGACGCGGUGGCCGGGAAGGAGAUCGGAUUGUGAACGUUUUAAGGACCUUGUGAGGCCUAAAAACACCGUGAGGUCGUGGCAGCUGUUCUGAAGGCCCCUGGAAGAUGUGUCCUUAUUCCUUGACCACAUGUGAAGCAGAGAGAGGUGUCCUUCUAAAAGUUGUAGGAAGAGGAGGGGGAGAUUACUGCCAUAUAAGGAAGUUCUAUUUGAUGACCCGAGACAAAGAUGCUCCACGGAUGCCUUGCUGCCUUUGAAGUAAGUAUUGCUGGGAAAACAGACCUUUACCGCCUCUCCUUCUCAAAGGCAGCACAUCUGGUUGGCAACCUUCAUGUUCGCAGCUAGCAAUGGGGAAAGGUUAUGAUGGCUGGACUAAUGCUCCUU